rnacentral:piRNA from 1 species
UUGAAAAUUGACUGACCACCAGUUUGAGCCU